rnacentral:misc_RNA from 1 species
GAUGAAGAACGCAGCGAAAUGCGAUAAGUAAUGUGAAUUGCAGAAUUCAGUGAAUCAUCGAAUCUUUGAACGCACAUUGCGCCCCCCAGUAUUCUGGCGGGCAUGCCUGUUCGAGCGUCAUUUCAACCAUCAAGCCCUGCUUGUGUUGGGGUCCUGCGGCUGCCCGCAGGCCCUGAAAACCAGUGGCGGGCUCGCUAGUCACACCGAGCGCAGUAGCACAUCUCGCUCAGGGCGUGCGGCGGGCUCCAGCCGUUAAAGCACCCACCUUUCGCAAGGUUGACCUCGGAUCAGGUAGGAAUACCCGCUGAACUUAAGCAUAUCAACAAGCGGAGGA